CAUGAAGCUGGAAUCGCUAGUAAUCGCGGAUCAGAAUGCCGCGGUGAAUACGUUCCCGGGUCUUGUACACACCGCCCGUCACACCAUGGGGAGUCGGAAAUGCCCGAAGUCUGUGACCCAACCUUAGGGAGGGAGCAGCCGAAGGCAGGUCGGAUGACUGGGGUGAAGUCGUAACAAGGUAGC
rnacentral:rRNA from 1 species